rnacentral:lncRNA from 1 species
CUUGAAGAAAUAAAGCUUAAUAUGCUUCAUAAAACAGAUAAAUUUCCUCACAGAUUCAAAAGCAAAUCCUCAUUAGUGAUGCCAAAGCAGAUGCAUAACAUAAGUGAUAUAUAUCUGUUUAUUCUCUUCUUUGAGGGUUAAAUCACCUAUGAAGGGUCUAUUCAAGUGGAAGAUAUUAGAUGCAUCUUAAAUGAUAAAACUUUUUUUAAAAGAAGCAAACACAAAGUACUUUUUGAUCAACACUCACUAAAUACAUUAUUUUUAAAUAAUUUAAAAAUAACCUGCUAAAUUUUCAACAUAAGAAUGCUUUGAAACCCUGGAUCAAGAGUACCCAUUUCUUGUCAUGGAAAAUUCCACUAUAAGGAAUCAACAUGCCUGUCUCAUAUAAAUUUUUUUCCUGUGUCUGCCAUC